AAGUUACUCCCUCCGUCCCAAAAUAAGUGACUCAAAAAUGAUCAACUUUGUACUAACUUUCGUAUAAAGUUUAGUCACUUUUGGUGUCAUUUAUUUUGGGACGGAGGGAGUACAUU
rnacentral:pre_miRNA from 1 species